AACUCUUCCUAACCAAGAUGUAGAGGAGUUGGAAGACGCAUUUUCCUAGAUGAAGCAAGAAAGGGAUCUAUGGGAAGAGCGGUUCCAUGCUUUGAACCGAGAGCACGUAGAGUUGCAACUUGAUUCGAAAGACAAGGAUACAAUCAGUGAGGUUCUUGAAGAACGUGCAAUGAGGAGACAGAGAAAGCCAGAGGAUUUAUUUCCCCCUAGUAUGCCU
rnacentral:lncRNA from 1 species